rnacentral:pre_miRNA from 1 species
CUAUGCCUGGCUCCCUGUAUGCCAUAAGCGGCGCCCCUCCCGGAGUCGGAGGAAGGCCCUCCGUGGAUGGCGUAUGAGGAGCCGAGCAUAU